GGGGGUACUGGAAGCUGGCUCCAACCGAUGCCAGUGGGGUCAGAACCGAUUUAACCAGAGCUGGAUGAGCAAACUCUGGACCUGGGUCCACAAGAAGAGAGUCAACGAUGGAUCGGAUGAGGCUUUUCUCUGGGAGGUAACUGAAAUCCUGAGGGACUGACAACAUGAGAGGAGAACAAGGAGAUGAAUAAAGACAAAGACAUAUACCACCGACCUAGAAUCCUGGUGAAUUGUGAGAACAUGGAGGUUCACAGGUGCACUGCUCCAUUCUUACCUGCUGUAUGACUGUGACUGGUGGAUACAUGGGCCAAAUGCAAAUGACCAACCAAACAAGCACUGUUGGACUGCAAACCAAUGGCUCCUGAGGAUGUUAUGAUCUGCAAAAGAGAACCAAUACGGCUAUUACAUAAUACAAUCAGAGCAAGUGAAAAAAUCUGUAAUAACAGAAACUUCAUUUUGAAAUACUGUGCUGAAACAGUGACGAUGCAUUUUUGGUGUCUGACAGUGUGAAACAUGUUGGAGUAGGGACAAUAAUGCUAUGCUAAAAUGCUAAAUGCUAAAAGACGGGGAACAUUGUCACUGGUGAAAACAAUAACAACAAUAAAAUCUGUGGUGUGACA